UCGAUGUCUCGAAACAGUCCAUAUUAUGUAUAUGUAUAACAAACGAUUCGAGAUAUAUUCGGUAAUGUUUCUAUUUUUCUUGGAAUGUUUGAAAAAGAUUUUUGAGUCGAUUUAUUGCUAAAGAAAUGAUCUGGCCACGAUUAUCGUAGUAAAUAUAUAUCAAUAACAGAAAUCAAUCAUGAAAAUUCUAACUGUGAAGUAACUCGAAACGAAGUGAAAUUCAGGAAUUGGUGAUAUUUCGAUAUUUCAGUUUGUUUUAUAGGUUAAUGCGAAAGAUCGAUAAUCGCGGUUGGUUCGAUACGCAUCGAUUCCAGAUACGCCUGGUAAAAUCUCGUCGACGUUGCCGAACUGGCGGAAACUAGGAUGCUCGAUGUUUACACAAGUAGUAAUUAUAGCGUGGGUACUCUCUGUGUGCUCUUUCGUAUUCGGCUUGACUGACGUUUGCCUGAAAAAAAAGGAAAUAUGUAAGGAUGACUUAUUGACCAGCUAACGAACGAACAGUGAUCGCGAGGUUGAAAGGAAGGAGGACACGAGUACUGAAGGAUCGUGUCGUUAAGGAUGACUCAGCGAGCUAUCAGAGCCGUGAGCCGUGUGAAACGGAGACACACGGACGCCUCCGCAAUACGUCGAAAGCGAUCAACGGACAGCGCAAUAUGCAAUCUGCGACGUCGUUUGCUUACAAUCGUGUUGAAACUAUCUCUGAUCACUACGACGAAGUGCUUGCAAAUCGAUUGCGACGAAUGCGAAAGAAAGUUAAUUGGACAUAUUCUAUGUUCUCGACGUGGCCGGUUCUUGUCUCGUCGUCCCGUCGUCCCAUCGUCGUCUCCUCGUCUCCUCGUCUCUUCUCGUCUCGGAUCGACUCUUUCGUCUCGUUAAAAACCAACGAAGCUGGAUAUAAAUGUGAACGAUGGACGGGUGGGUACGCGUUAAGUGCGGCGGAUCAUCGAACGAGGUAAAAGAAGAAUGUACGUCUGCGCGCGCACGCAACGAGAAGACCUGAAAACUAGAAAACCAGAAAGAUAACUGGUUCUAUCUUCCCUUUGGCAUCAGAGCUACGUACCUACAUGUAUGUAUAUAUGUAGGUGCUUGCGUUCGAGACACGCGUACUCUCUCUCACACUUGUCGAGGAUGUCCUCGAGUUUCGAGGACGGCCAAGAAUCGACGUUCGUUAUCGCGUGCGCGCAUAACGGCGAACCUACCGGCUAUAAAGGCUGCGACAACAGGUGUUCUUUUGCGAUGUCGCUCCCGCCACCUCUUCUCCCGCUCUUGUCCUUUUCAAGAUCCGGAACGAGACCUCUUUCGAUCAUCGUCAUCGACUAAAUCGCCGUUCCUACCUUCCUUCCACUUUCCUACCGAAAUCGCCAGUCCAAGUUCCUCCGAUUUCACCGAUCGUCUCGGAUCGCUUGGGAAUUUCCGAACGAUCGAUGCCAACGUUCACGUAACGCUCCGAAUUUAGAUGGAAACGCGUACGUCUAAAAUCGCUCUGCAUCUCGUGCUAACCCUCCAUCGAUCUCGAUUCGUCGCCAAUUAAAUCAUCCCGCGGCCAUCGAGUUUUUAUACCCGAACUUAUACUUAUUUUUAUUGGUCGAAUUGCUUCAUUCGAAUUCGCGUAACUCGAUUGAUCCAAAUGAGACGUCGCUUGCUUUUGCGACAGGAAUUAGUUGAUUCGAUGCGAUGUAACUUGUCUCGAUAGUCCAACGACCCCGGCAGGUCCGGCAGUUUCAUCAUAGGCAACGUGCUGCAUCUUCAUUAGUAGCAGAAAGCCAGGGACCAGAUGAAAAAAAGCGAAGAGGAACGAGGGGAGAAGAAGAGUUGAAUAGAGUAGAAAAGAAGAGAGCAUGGCAGCGGCGGCGUUGUCGUCGUACGCACGUGGACAGCCGGUUCUGCAUACCAGCAGGAAUGCGCACGUGCUCGUGCAUACGUAGCGAAAGUGGGGCAACGCAGACCACCCACGUUCCUCGUCUUCGACUCGCCGUUGUUUACGUACUACUUGCCGCUUGCACCAUGUCGUUCCCGCGAUUUCUACGGUAUACACAUAAUACCCUUUCGCCGUCGAGUUGCUCCUUUCGAUUCGAUUCCCUUCCGUUCCCUUUCUUUCCUUUCUCUUGCAUUCCCUUCUCUCGCCAUCUGUUCCCCUUCUCUGUACCCUCUCUAUCUUUUUAGUCCUUUCUUCCUUUUCGUUCAUUGUUCGUUACCCUCUGCGAAACUCGACUGCCGCCAUUACCGCCACCGCCACCAUCGCUACUCUCUGCCUUCUCUACGUCCAGCAUUCUUCUAUUUCCACCUAGAGUUCCGGCUUCCCUUCACUUUUUCUUUUCACUUUCCAACUGCUUUUCCCAUUUUUCUCGUGCUAUUUAUUAUUAUUAUUG